AUUGAACGCUGGCGGCAUGCCUUACACAUGCAAGUCGAACGGCAGCACGGGAGCAAUCCUGGUGGCGAGUGGCGAACGGGUGAGUAAUAUAUCGGAACGUGCCCAGUCGUGGGGGAUAACGUAGCGAAAGCUACGCUAAUACCGCAUACGAUCUAUGGAUGAAAGCGGGGGAUCGCAAGACCUCGCGCGAUUGGAGCGGCCGAUAUCAGAUUAGGUAGUUGGUGGGGUAAAAGCCUACCAAGCCUUCGAUCUGUAGCUGGUCUGAGAGGACGACCAGCCACACUGGAACUGAGACACGGUCCAGACUCCUACGGGAGGCAGCAGUGGGGAAUUUUGGACAAUGGGCGCAAGCCUGAUCCAGCAAUGCCGCGUGCAGGAUGAAGGCCU
rnacentral:rRNA from 1 species